CCAACAGAUUUCCUCCUCCCAAAACCCUACAUCUUUUAUAUAUCUUAUUCUCUGAUUUGAAAAGGUAUCAGUGGCACUUCCCAAAAAAAAGAGCUCUCUAUUGUCAUUUUCUUUAGAGAAAGAAGCUUCAACCAUUACAACCUAAUUCCUAACCUAGCUGUGGCAGACUUUCGGAAUUCUUAAGCAAAAAGAAAAAAAGCAAUUCCGAAAUUACUAAAGCUAAGAACGGUGCCUACCCUUUAAAGAUGGUCGAUUCUUCUUUUCUCAAAAGUGGAUAGAGACACACAAGAGGACUCCUAACCUAGCUGCUCCUUCUGUUUUCAACCAGUUAAUAGCCGUCGUUCCCUACCAACUCAAUUUUUAAUAUGAAUUCGUUUGAAGUGAACUCCCUUCAUUAAAGUUUGGAAAUCUUCCCAAGUCCCAACUUCCCUUGCCCCACAGUAUUCCUAUUUCAUCUUUAAGGUUGAUUGAGGUUGUACAUUGCGAUUUCUUGCUUGAGGUUUCCGGCGAGGCAUCCCAGUGGAGAUCUUGUCCGCGGUUCUGACGCUUGUGUUUCAAAGCUGUCGCACAAUUAACUUCAGAUUCGUUUGAGGUCCAGGUAGGGACUCUGAUCGACCCUUUCGCUAGGAUUUUGGGGUUCAACUAUGAGUUGGUAAGCUCCACCUCUUCCUGGAGUUUUCAUAGGAUGGUUACUUUUGUUGUACAGUUUGGGUAUAGUCGGGGCCUUGUCUCGACAAUGAUUAUGACACUCUUAGAGGCUAGUGUGGACACAGUAUUCUAGGUUUCUUUUUACAACUUCUAGUCUCCAGCCCAUAGACUUGGCAUAUAUAUAUAUAUAUAGGCAUGUAUGUCUCCAGUCAUGGCCUCGUCGGCCAGCUAGUACUUUAUUAUUUUGGCUCGUCUACCUUUAUUUAUAUGGCUUAUUGUUAUUCAGGUCAUGACCUUAAUGGUCCAGGUUUAGUAUUUCAGAUGUUGUACUGCCCGAUCUGUUGGGCUCCUAUUUUAGUUAGCUUGUAUGUUUAGUGGCUCA